rnacentral:rRNA from 1 species
CACCAGCGCUACAAGUGGCAAUCACGUUUAUUGGGCCUAAAGCGUCCGUAGCAGGUUUUGUAAAUUUCUUGUGAAACUGCCAAGCUUAACUUGGCAAUGUGCAGGGAACACUGCAAGACUUGAGACCGGGAAGGGUCGGAGGUAUUCCUGAGGGAGCGGUAAAAUGCUAUAAUCUCAGGAGGACCACCGGUGGCGAAGGCGUCCGACUAGAACGGAUCUGACUGUGAGGGACGAAAGCCAGGGGAGCAAACCG